rnacentral:rRNA from 1 species
AAGUCGAACGAGAUCUUCGGGUCUAGUGGCGCACGGGUGCGUAACGCGUGGGAAUCUGCCCUUUGGUUCGGAAUAACAGUUGGAAACGACAGCUAAUACCGGAUGAUGACGAAAGUCCAAAGAUUUAUCGCCAGAGGAUGAGCCCGCGUAGGAUUAGCUAGUUGGUGUGGUAAAGGCGCACCAAGGCGACGAUCCUUAGCUGGUCUGAGAGGAUGAUCAGCCACACUGGGACUGAGACACGGCCCAGACUCCUACGGGAGGCAGCAGUGGGGAAUAUUGGACAAUGGGCGAAAGCCUGAUCCAGCAAUGCCGCGUGAGUGAUGAAGGCCUUAGGGUUGUAAAGCUCUUUUACCCGGGAUGAUAAUGACAGUACCGGGAGAAUAAGCUCCGGCUAACUCCGUGCCAGCAGCCGCGGUAAUACGGAGGGAGCUAGCGUUGUUCGGAAUUACUGGGCGUAAAGCGCACGUAGGCGGCUUUGUAAGUUAGAGGUGAAAGCCUGGAGCUCAACUCCAGAACUGCCUUUAAGACUGCAUCGCUUGAAUCCAGGAGAGGUGAGUGGAAUUCCGAGUGUAGAGGUGAAAUUCGUAGAUAUUCGGAAGAACACCAGUGGCGAACGCGGCUCACU